rnacentral:rRNA from 1 species
CCUACGGGAGGCAGCAGUGAGGAAUAUUGGUCAAUGGGCGCGAGCCUGAACCAGCCAAGUAGCGUGAAGGAUGACUGCCCUACGGGCUGUAAGCUUCUUUUAUAAAGGAAUAAAGUGAGGCACGGGUACCUUUUUGGAUGUACUUUAUCAAUAAGGGUCGGCUAACUCCGUGCCAGCAGCAGCGGUAAUACGGAGGAUCCGAGCGUUAUCCGGAUUUAUUGGGUUUAAAGGGAGCGUAGAUGGGUUGUUAAGUCAGUUGUGAAAGUGUGCGGCUCAACCGUAACAUUGCAAUUGAUGCUGGCAGUGAUGAGUACAGUUGAGGUAGUCGGAAUCCGUGGGGUAGCGGAGAA